rnacentral:rRNA from 1 species
GACGAACGCUGGCGGCGUGCUUAACACAUGCAAGUCGAACGAAGAGCGAUGGAAGCUUGCUUCUAUCAAUCUUAGUGGCGAACGGGUGAGUAACGCGUAAUCAACCUGCCCUUCAGAGGGGGACAACAGUUGGAAACGACUGCUAAUACCGCAUACGAUCUAAUCUCGGCAUCGAGGAUAGAUGAAAGGUGGCCUCUACAUGUAAGCUAUCACUGAAGGAGGGGAUUGCGUCUGAUUAGCUAGUUGGAGGGGUAACGGCCCACCAAGGCGAUGAUCAGUAGCCGGUCUGGGAGGAUGAACGGCCACAUUGGGACUGAGACACGGCCCAGACUCCUACGGGAGGCAGCAGUGGGGAAUCUUCCGCAAUGGACGAAAGUCUGACGGAGCAACGCCGCGUGAGCGAUGACGGCCUUCGGGUUGUAAAGCUCUGUUAAUCGGGACGAAAGGCCUUCUUGCGAAUAGUGAGAAGGAUUGACGGUACCGGAAUAGAAAGCUACGGCUAACUACGUG